GCACCGGCUAACUCCGUGCCAGCAGCCGCGGUAAUACGGAGGGUGCGAGCGUUAAUCGGAAUUACUGGGCGUAAAGCGCAUGCAGGUGGUUUGUUAAGUCAGAUGUGAAAGCCCGGGGCUCAACCUCGGAAUUGCAUUUGAAACUAGGCAGACUAGAGUACUGUAGAGGGGGGUAGGAAUUUCAGGUGUAGCGGUGAAAUAGCGUAGAGAUCUGAAGGAAUACCGGUGGCGAAGGCGGCCCCCUCGGACAGAUACUGACACUCAGAUGCGAAAGCGUGGGGAGCAAACAGGAUUAGAUACCCUGGUAG
rnacentral:rRNA from 1 species